GACGAACCGUGCGAACGUUGUUCGGAAUCACUGGGCUUAAAGGGCGCGUAGGCGGUCUACCAAGUCGGGGUUGAAAUCUUUCGGCUUAACCGGAAAAGUGGCUUCGAUACUGGUAGACUGGAGGGAGGCAGGGGCGGAUGGAACUUCCGGUGGAGCGGUGAAAUGUGUUGAUAUCGGAAGGAACGCCAGUGGCGAAAGCGGCAUCCUGGCCCUGACCUGACGCUGAGGCGCGAGAGCGUGGGGAGCAAACGGG
rnacentral:rRNA from 1 species